rnacentral:rRNA from 1 species
UGGCGUGCUUUACACAUGCAAGUCGAACGCUGAAGCACCAGCUUGCUGGUGUGGAUGAGUGGCGAACGGGUGAGUAAUACGUGAGUAACCUGCCCUUGACUCUGGGAUAAGCCCGGGAAACUGGGUCUAAUACUGGAUGCUACAUGUCACCGCAUGGUGGUGUGUGGAAAGGGUUUACUGGUCUUGGAUGGGCUCACGGCCUAUCAGCUUGUUGGUGAGGUAAUGGCUCACCGAGGCGACGACGGGUAGCCGGCCUGAGAGGGUGACCGGCCACACUGGGACUGAGACACGGCCCAGACUCCUACGGGAGGCAGCAGUGGGGAAUAUUGCACAAUGGGCGAAAGCCUGAUGCAGCGACGCCGCGUGAGGGAUGACGGCCUUCGGGUUGUAAACCUCUUCAGCAGGAAGAAGCCACAAGUGAUCGAUCCCCAG